CACGGGUGAGUAACACGUAUCCAACCUGCCGUCUACUCUUGGACAGCCUUCUGAAAGGAAAGAUUAAUACAAGAUGGCAUCAUGAGUUCACAUGUUCACAUGAUUAAAGGUAUUCCGGUAGACGAUGGGGAUGCGUUCCAUUAGAUAGUAGGCGGGGUAACGGCCCACCUAGUCUUCGAUGGAUAGGGGUUCUGAGAGGAAGGUCCCCCACAUUGGAACUGAGACACGGUCCAA
rnacentral:rRNA from 1 species